CAGAAAACGCUGAUAGUGUGAGCCAAAGCACUCCAUAUGAAGAGGUUGUUCACACUGCUGGAUGUUUCUCCUCUGAAGCUGCUCUCUGCCUCAGUCAUUGUUUACUUCACUCAUGAAGCUCAUCAAGCACAUAGCAAGAUCCGAGCAUGAACCCGAGCGCUUUAUUCGCCUAUCAAAGGCUAGUCAUUUUACGGUGAUUUCAUUCACCGCGACUCCAGAAAUGAUUAAAAAACUACAAAAUGACGUAUCCGCGCUCCCGCUGAUAUGCUGACAUGCGUACACAGAGCAGAGCUGUCCCCCCGCGACUCUCUCCCCGCCUCGUCUCACACAGUCUGUCAGCCUCUGUGCAGCACCUUCGGAGCAAGUAGGGGCGCCUACAGCAGCGGGGGGACGCCAAUUUGACAACAACAGUUAAUACAAAACCGCUUUGCGGUUAAGAUUUAUUAUUAUUAUCUUUUAUUUUAUUUUUUGGAAGUGCUCGUGCCGCCCCCCAUGAGUCAUGACACAAAUGCCGCCCCGGGCGGCUGCCCUGUUCGCCCGUGCCUAGAACCGCUACUGAUC